AAUCACACUUAUUUCCAGGAAAGAGUUAGCAGUAUUGAUAUAGUCCAGGGACUCCUAGAAACACCUGUUGUGUUGCUUUGGUGAGCAGAUGCUGUUCAUCUUCCAUGGCACCUGUAUUUUAUCUGCAUGGAGAUGAGCUCAGCCAGAGUACUUCUCAGAGAGGAUACCACGUGGAUGCAAAUAAGAGCAGAGAAAGCACCGAGUAGUUACAAUGGUCCUUGCUGGGUGUUUGGAGAAGCUAAUUAUUUGAGAGAGAAACAAGCCUAGGAAAGACUUUUGGGAUUAGGUGAAAAGUGUACCCUUGCAGGGAGCAAGAAGCCAUGCCAUGCCCAGGCUUUCGAUCGCUCCACCACAGGAUAUCAUUGUCCACAGGCCCUAACUUUAGUUCUUGAUUUUUCCAACCUCUCUUUAAAGUUUAUUCUUAUUUUCCAAA
rnacentral:lncRNA from 1 species